CUUCUUCUUCUUGUCCUUGGACGACGACUUCUUCUUGGCUGGCGCGGGGGCCGGUCCUUCGAUGGGCUUCGUCUCCGGGGCCGGCGCCGCUGCUGGAACGAGCGCGGGGGAAGCGGCCGCCGGUGCCUCAACGGUGGGAGCAGCGGCUGCCGGUGCCUCAACUGUGGGAGCAGCGGCCGCUGGUGCAACUACGGCAGGAGCGGUUGCCGCGGGGGCAGGUGCGGUGGCCUUCGGCAGUGCAGGCGCGGGGGCCUUGGGCUUAGGAGGCGCCAUAGCCGGGGCCUGGACAGGCGCCGGUGCUGUCACGGGCGCGGGGGCCUUGGGCUUAGGAGGCGCCAUAGC
rnacentral:lncRNA from 1 species